GAAAAAGUACUGCAAGAACUGCUAACUCAUGCUCCCAUGCAUAAAAGCAUGGCUUUUUCA
rnacentral:tRNA from 4 species